GUACCGUGAGGGAAAGGUGAAAAGAACCCCUGGAGGGGAGUGAAAUAGAACCUGAAAUUGUGUGCUUACAAGCGGUCAGAGCCAGUGAUGGUGAUGGCGUGCCUUUUGGAGAAUGAUCCUGCGAGUUACGUUAAACGGCGAGGUUAAGUAUAACGGAGCCGAAGGGAAACCAAGUCUUAAUAGGGCGAUUUAGUCGUUUGGCGUAGACGCGAAACCUGGUGAUCUAAACCUGUCCAGGAUGAAGCUGUGGUAAGACACAGUGGAGGUCCUAACCCACCGCCGUUGAAAAGUUGGGGGAUGAGGUAGGUUUAGGGGUGAAAAGCCAAUCGAACCAGGAGAUAGCUCGUUCUCUCCGAAAUGCAUUUAGGUGCAGCGUCGCGUGGUCCCUGGUGGAGGUAGAGCUACUGGAUGGCCGAUGGGCCCUAUGGGUUACUGACGUCAGCCAAACUCCGAAUGCCAUUAGGUGUAGCGCGGCAGUGAGACUGCGGGGGAUAAGCUUCGUAGUCGAGAGGGAAACAGCCCAGAUCAUCGUCUAAGGUCCCCAAUUAACACUAAGUGGGAAACAAAGUGAAGUUUCUUAAACAGCUAGGAUGUUGGCUUAGAAGCAGCCAUUCAUUUAAAGAGUGCGUAAUAGCUCACUGGUCGAGUGGACAUGCGCCGACAAUAUACGGGGCUAAGCAUUGUACCGAAGCGGCGGAUCAGUACUUUGUACUGGUGGUAGGAGAGCUUUCUGUACGGGUUGAAGCAGUUGGAUAACCAACUGUGGACUGUCCAGAAGUGAGAAUGCUGGCAUGAGUAACGAGAGACAUGUAAAAAACAUGUCCGCCGUAAACCCAAGGUUUCCUGGGCAAGGCUAAUCCUCCCAGGGUUAGGCGGGAGCUAAGGCAAGGCCGGAAGGCGUAGUCG
rnacentral:rRNA from 1 species